GAAUCUGAUCCGCCGAAAGCCCAAGGUUUCCUGAGGAAGGCUCGUCCGCUCAGGGUAAGUCGGGACCUAAGGUGAGGCCGAAAGGCGUAAUCGAAGGACAACAGGUUGAAAUUCCUGUACCACCGUAAACCGUUAUGAACGAUGGGGUGACGCAGGAGGGUAGUGACGCGGACUGAUGGAUGUCCGUCCAAGCAGUGAGGCUGAUGUGUAGGCAAAUCCGCACAUCGAUAAGGCUGGGCUGUGAUGGGGAGUGAAAAUUAUAGUAGCGAAGGUCAUGAUCUCACACUGCCAAGAAAAGCCUCUAGUCAGGUGAAGGUGCCCGUACCGCAAACCGACACAGGUAGGCGAGAAGAGAAUUCUAAGGCGCGCGGAAGAACUCUCGUUAAGGAACUCGGCAAAAUGACCCCGUAACUUCGGGAGAAGGGGUGCCUCGGUAGGGUGAAUAGCCCGAGGGGGCCGCAGUGAAAAGGCCCAAGCGACUGUUUAGCAAAAACACAGGUCUGUGCGAAGCCGUAAGGCGAAGUAUACGGGCUGACGCCUGCCCGGUGCUGGAAGGUUAAGGGGAGCGGUUAGGAGCAAUCCGAAGCUGUGAACCGAAGCCCCAGUAAACGGCGGCCGUAACUAUAACGGUCCUAAGGUAGCGAAAUUCCUUGUCAGGUAAAUUCUGACCCGCACGAAUGGCGUAACGACUUGGGCGCUGUCUCAACGAGAGAUCCGGUGAAAUUUUAAUACCUGUGAAGAUGCAGGUUACCCGCGACAAGACGGAAAGACCCCAUGGAGCUUUACUGCAGCUUGAUAUUGGAUUUGGGUACGAUCUGUACAGGAUAGGUGGGAGCCUUUGAAGCAUGAGCGCCAGCUUGUGUGGAGGCGACGUUGGGAUACCACCCUGAUCGUAUCUAGGUUCUAACUUGGCACCGUGAUCCGGUGCGAGGACAGUGUCAGGCGGGCAGUUUGACUGGGGCGGUCGCCUCCUAAAGAGUAACGGAGGCGCCCCAAGGUUCCCUCAGAAUGGUUGGAAAUCAUUCGAAGAGUGCAAAGGCAUAAGGGAGCUUGACUGCGAGACCUACAAGUCGAGCAGGGACGAAAGUCGGGCUUAGUGAUCCGGUGGUACCGCAUGGAAGGGCCAUCGCUCAACGGAUAAAAGCUACCCUGGGGAUAACAGGCUUAUCUCCCCCAAGAGUCCACAUCGACGGGGAGGUUUGGCACCUCGAUGUCGGCUCAUCGCAUCCUGGGGCUGAAGUAGGUCCCAAGGGUUGGGCUGUUCGCCCAUUAAAGCGGUACGCGAGCUGGGUUCAGAACGUCGUGAGACAGUUCGGUCCCUAUCUGUCGUGGGCGUAGGAAAUUUGAGAGGAGCUGUCCUUAGUACGAGAGGACCGG
rnacentral:rRNA from 1 species